GGAGCAGUGUCCUGGUUUGCUUGUUUGCGGGCCGCUAUUCCCUUUCAGCAGAGAUAAGCCUCCCUCUCCGCGUCCCUGAAGCCCCUGCCUGCGCUGAGUUCCUUGGAGCUGGGGGCUGCGAUACCAGUCUCUUGGAGGGUGGUGCCCGGCGCGGCCGCGCCCCUUUCUCUAUAUCCAUUCCUGGGCAUGGCCACCCAGACUAAAUGUCACUCAAAAGCGAGUUGACAUAUAUUACUGUAUUGGAAGUUAGCAUAAACCGCCCCACAAAUGGUCCCACACGUAACACAUCUUUUUAAAAUUGUGGCAUUUCAUACGUACCACAGGGGCAAACUACAGCCCUCAGGGCAAAUCCAGCCCACCGCAGGUUCUGCUGUACUAGGAGCUAAAAAUGGGUUUCACAUUUUUCAAAGGUUAAAAAAAAAGUUUUGCGACAGAUGACAAUUAUAUGACAUUCAUAUUUGUGUCUGCUUUUUAAAGUUUCAUUAGAACAUAGCUUUGCAUUCCUAUACAUGCUGUUAAUUAAAGCUUUUAUACUACAAUAGCGAAUUUGGGUAGUUGCAAUAGCCCCUUACCCUCUUGAAGUGACCUUGCAAUUACGUUGAGGUCGGGAAAACAGAUCAGUUUCAACUAGUUAUCAACCUCAAAAUGUUAUCAAGACUUAUACUGUACUCUCAAGGCUUACCCACUACCCAUGGGUAUGUAUGCUUUAGCCCCCUGUAAGGUUAUUGUAAAGUCCUUAAGGAAGGGGAUUCUUUGACCUGUCAAAUGUAGUGGAUGUUACCCUGAUAGUUGUGUUGUUUUGAUUUUUUUAAAUCAAGGAGGGAAAGCCAGCUUGCUAUGUUCUUGGGACACAGUGUCUGGAUUAUGUACAUCAUAAUGCCUGGUAAACCCCAGCAGUGGAUAAGCCAGACAUGUUAUUUAGCUACAGGAGAGUUAAAAGAUGUAUGCACCAAUUAAGCCUUACAGGCGUGUGGAAGGAGCUUUAGUUUUUGAGACAGAUUCCUCCUUGUUGCUAAAGAAAAAUUAUUCUGACACUUGUUAAAAUGUCAAGGAAGACAUUUAGAACUAUUGCAAUAGGUGCCAUGACUAUCACCAUGGGGGAGAGAGAUUGGCCUCAAGUUUUAAUACAACAAAAACAGCUAGGAUUUAUAACCAGCAAGCAGACUGAGGGAUGUGGCAAAGCGAAAGUCAGAGAGAUCAAGAUAAUGAGAGGAACAAUUUGACAAGGAAUGCAGGUUGCCAUAGGGAACCAAGAGCGGCUCCUGACUGACAGCCAGCAAGGAAAUGGAGACCUCAGCCACACAGCCGCAAGGAGUUGAAUUCUGUCAACAACCUAAAUAAAACUGAAAGCACACUCUUCCCCAGAGGUACCAGACAAAAGCUCAGGUAAGCUGACACCUUGAUUUCACCCUUAUGAGACCUGGAACAGAGGAACCAGUCAACUCUUGCUGGACUUCUGACCUACAGAACUGUGACAUAAUAAACUUGAGUUGUUUUAAGCCA